UGUCUGAGUACAUGCCGUAUUAAGGCGAAACCGCGAAUGGCUCAUUAAAUCAGUUAUGGUUCCUUGGAUCGUACUUCACUACUUGGAUAACUGUGGCAAUUCUAGAGCUAAUACAUGCAGCAGAGCUCCGACCUUCGGGGACGAGCGCUUUUAUUAGACCAAAACCGAUCGGGCCUCGUGUCCGUGAAACGUGGUGACUCUGUAUAACUUUGGGCUGAUCGCACGGGCUUGUCCCGGCGACGUAUCUUUCAAGUGUCUGCCUUAUCAACUGUCGAUGGUAGGUUACGCGCCUACCAUGGUCGUAACGGGUAACGGGGGAUCAGGGUUCGAUUCCGGAGAGGGAGCCUGAGAAACGGCUACCACAUCCAAGGAAGGCAGCAGGCGCGCAAAUUACCCACUCCCGGAACGGGGAGGUAGUGACGAAAAAUAACAAUACGGGACUCUUUUGAGACCCCGUAAUUGGAAUGAGUACACUCUAAAUCCUUUAACGAGGAUCUAUUUGAGGGAAAGUCU
rnacentral:rRNA from 1 species